AACGAACGCUGGCGGCAGGCCUAACACAUGCAAGUCGAACGCCGUAGCAAUACGGAGUGGCAGACGGGUGAGUAACGCGUGGGAACAUACCCCUCGGUUCGGAAUAACUCAGGGAAACUUGAGCUAAUACCGGAUACGUCCGAGGUUUUAAUCGGCCUUGGAGAAAGAUUUAUCGCCGGAGGAUUGGCCCGCGUCUGAUUAGCUUGUUGGUGAGGUAAUGGCUCACCAAGGCGACGAUCAGUAGCUGGUCUGAGAGGAUGAUCAGCCACAUUGGGACUGAGACACGGCCCAAAACUCCUACGGGAGGCAGCAGUGGGGAAUAUUGGACAAUGGGCGAAAGCCUGAUCCAGCCAUGCCGCGUGAGUGAUGAAGGCC
rnacentral:rRNA from 1 species